rnacentral:lncRNA from 13 species
CAGAGGGGAAUACACUUGGUUAUAUACUUCUUAUAUCUCUUGUUGCGUGGUCUGUUGGUCUCGAUCAGUCACACAUAUUCCAGAUGUUGUUUUUCACAUCGAGGAGUGUUAACACAACACUUAUUUCAACACUUCUACUUUAUCACAUACUUAACACUAAGUAGAUACUACUUUAACACGUACUUAACACUAAGUAUAUCCUACUUUAACACGUACUUAACACUAAGUCACUUCUACUUUAACACAUACUUAACACUAAGUAGAUACUACUUUAACACGUACUUAACACUAAGUAUAUCCUACUUUAACACGUACUUAACACUAAGUNNNNNNNNNNUCUACUUUAACACGUACUUAACACUAAGUAUAUCCUACUUUUACACGUACUUAACACUAAGUAUAUCCUACUUUUACACGUACUUAACACUAAGUACCUCCUACUUUAACACGUACUUAACACUAAGUAUAUACUACUUUAACACAUACUUAACACUAAGUCACUUCUACUUUAACACGUACUUAACACAAGGUAUCUUCUACUUGAACACAUACUUAACACUAAGUCACUUCUACUUUAACACGUACUUAACACAAGGUAUCUUCUUAACACUAAGCAUCUCCUACUUUAACACGUACUUAACACUAAGUAUCUCCUACUUUAC